rnacentral:ncRNA from 1 species
AGCUGAUGCGAAAGGGCGAACCUUCAGCAGUCCAACACUGCUAAAGUGAAGCAGCAUCCCAGAGAAGUGCAGGUAUCUAUGUACGGUGCUUCGUGCAAAAACAUCGUACCCUGUCAAGGAAACGAUUCCGCUGGGCAUACGUGGAAGUGGCCACGGGAAAGGGCGUCGGGAUGACGACCGAUGCCUUAAAAACAACGCCAGCGGCCGAUGCACCUGCAGGAUGCUCCGGGUGACAAAAGUUGGAGGAAUGAACUCUGUGAGAUACCGCAGGGUUCAUUU